UACCAGCCCCCCGAGUGGUCGGGACGAUUAUUGGGCCUAAAGCAUCCGUAGCCGGUCAUGCAAGUCCUCCGUUAAAUCCACCUGCUUAACAGAUGGGCUGCGGAGGAUACUACAAGGCUAGGAGGCGGAAGAGGCAAGCGGUACUCAGUGGGUAGGGGUAAAAUCCUCUGAUCCAUUGAAGACCACCAGUGGCGAAGGCGGCUUGCCAAUACGCGCUCGACGGUGAGGGAUGAAAGCUGGGGGAGCAAACCGG
rnacentral:rRNA from 1 species